AUUUUGGACAAUGGGCGCAAGCCUGAUCCAGCCAUGCCGCGUGAGUGAAGAAGGCCUUCGGGUUGUAAGGCUCUUUCGGACGGAAAGAAAUCUCGCAGGCUAAUACCCUGCGCGGAUGAUGGUACCUGCAUAAGAAGCACCGGCUAACUACGUGCCAGCAGCCGCGGUAAUACGUAGGGUGCUAGGGUUAAUCGGAAUUACUGGGCGUAAAGCGUGCGCAGGGCGUAUAUUAAGACAGGCGUGAUAUCCCCGGGCUUAACCUGGGAACUGCGCUUGUGACUGGUCAGCUAGAGUACGGCAGAGGGGGGUGGGAUUCCACGUGUAGCAGUGAAAUGCGUAAAGAUGUGGAGGAACACCGAUGGCGAAGGCAGCCCCCUGGGCCGAUACUGACGCUCAUGCACGAAAGCGUGGGUAGCAAGCAGG
rnacentral:rRNA from 1 species